rnacentral:miRNA from 15 species
GCUCGCUCUGAUGCAUGUUCUGCCUGGCUCCCUGAAUGCCAUCUAAGAAGCUUUGUCGAUGCAGUUGGCAUACUUCCUAGUUGGCAUCUGGGGAGCCAUGCAGACACAGCAUGCAUGGCUGGUUUCAGGUGAGG